GACGUCUGACCCAGUUUGGAGGAAGCGCUCUUUGUCACAUUUCCUCCCGUCAGAAACUCAUCUCAUUCAGAAACCAGCGUGGCGUGGCGCGGCGCGGCGUGGGGCGGGGGAGAGGGACCGCAGCCACGCGCACAGACUCUGCAAGUUUAGCUGCUGCCACACCGGGUUCUGGUUCAGGACGGGCUCCUCUCAGGUGUUUGAGUCAACAUGGAAGCAGAAAACAACAACCAGCCUGCUCUGGACAAUCACAACAAUCUGUGCACGCUAAAAGCUCAGGAGGAUCAGAGAAACGCAUCAAGCCUGAAGUACUGCUGCACUGCGGCCAACUUCCACAUUGAGAAGAAGAUCGGACGCGGUCAGUUCAGUGAGGUUUAUAAAGCCACAUAUCUGCUGGACGGCCAGCUCGUUGCACUCAAGAAAGUCCAGAUCUUUGAGAUGAUGGAUAUGAAGGCUCGUCAGGACUGCAUCAAGGAGAUUGAUCUUCUGAAGCAACUGAAUCAUCCAAAUGUAAUCAAGUAUCUGGACUCCUUUAUUGAAGACAACGAGCUGAACAUUGUGUUGGAGCUGGCAGAUGCUGGAGAUCUUUCCCAAAUGAUAAAGUACUUCAAGAAACACCGGCGGCUGAUACCAGAAAGGACCAUCUGGAAAUACUUUGUGCAGCUGUGCAGCGCCCUUGAGCAUAUGCAUUCACGCAGAGUUAUGCACCGCGAUAUCAAACCAGCCAACGUGUUUAUAACAGCCUCAGGGGAGGUGAAGCUGGGAGAUCUGGGAUUAGGGCGAUUCUUCAGCUCCAAAACCACAGCAGCUCAUUCUUUAGUGGGGACGCCGUACUACAUGUCGCCGGAGCGGAUCCAUGAGAACGGAUAUAAUUUCAAGUCGGAUAUCUGGUCCCUGGGGUGUCUUCUGUACGAGAUGGCGGCGCUGCAGAGUCCAUUUUAUGGGGACAAGAUGAACCUGCUGACGCUGUGUCAAAAGAUCGAGCAGUGUGACUACCCUCCUCUCCCGCCUGACCAUUACUCCCAGAAGCUGCGUGACCUGGUCAGCAUGUGCAUCAACCCAGACCCGGUCCAGAGGCCCGACAUCGUCUUCGUGCUGCAGAUGGCCAAACAGAUGCACGCCUGGACAUCCAGCAGCCCCUGAGGGCCCAUUGGAGCCGCCUCUGAGGUCUGAGGACGCCGCCGCCUCUGAGGUCUGAGGACGCCGCCGCCUCUGAGGUCUGAGGACGCCGCCGCCUCUGAGGUCUGAGGACGCCGCCGCCUCUGAGGUCUGAGGACGCCGCCGCCUCUGGGGUCUGAGGACGCCGCCUCCGCCGUGCCUUAGCUUCUGUUCCUGAAAGAAAAGACGUUCCUCUGGCUCUGCCAACGCUGAUGUCAUGGUGGCUGUAGCUGUGAGCUCAGCGGAGCGGAGAACCUGACCUCCAUGUGGAGGAAGUCUGGAUGAGGAGCCCUGAUCCUCUGGUUCUGGUCCAGUAGAGCAGAACCAGGACCGAUCCGACCCAACGGCUGCUUCAUCUCCUGUCCAAAUAAAGACCUGCCAGCUGAGCUGCACACGGUUGGAGAGAUCUGACCUCCCUCCCUCCUUUCCUCCCUCCUUUCUGGAUCCUUCUGAUGUUCCUUCUGUCCAGACCUCAGGUGUCCUUCAGUGAACCUCUCCUCCAUCAUGGACUCGUUUUUCUUAUUUUCCAGGUGGAUCAUCUGGUUCAGGUUUGCAGCAGAUCAAAUGUUCUUUAUCUCUGUUUUCCUUUUCUGUAUAAAAUAAAGCGACUAUAA